CGCUCCCUCUGCUGCAGGCCUGAGCUCUCCAUGCCCCGGGCUCUCUCCUGCAGAGGGCCUGCUCUCAGCUGCCACAAGAGGGCGCAGGAGAACAGACCUGAGCAGAGAGGCAGGAGCUCCACUGCCGGGUCCUCCCAGGCACCACUCCUUCUGGGAGGAAGGCUUGGGAGUCCCCUGAGACCAGAUCCUCAGUCACUUCUCUCUGCCUGUGUCUCAGGAAGACCAGCUCCUCCUACUGUCUUCUGUGCUAGGGAUCACUUCCUUGUUGAGUGGGACCUGAGUUUUGAGAGGAUCUUCUGCUCCUCUUCAUCUGAUCCCUUUCCUUCCAAGGCCCAAGAGAGGAAGGCAUGUGGUGGGCCCCAGCCCUGCUUCUAGCUCUCCUGUCUCCUGCCAGUCAGAAAUCUUCCAAUUUGGAAGGGAGAACAAAGUCAGUCACCAGGCCGACUGGGUCAUCCGCUGAAAUCACCUGUGAUCUUCCUGAAGUCAGUAGCUUCUACAUCCACUGGUACCUACACCAGGAGGGGAAGGCCCCACAGCGUCUUCUGUACUAUGACUCCUCCAACUCCAGGGUUGUGUUGGAAUCAGGAAUCAGUCCAGGAAAGUAUGAUACUUAUGGAAGCACAAGGAGCAACUUGAGAUUAAUACUGCGAAAUGUAAUUGAAAAUGAUUCUGGGGUCUAUUACUGUGCCAACUGGGACAGGCACAGUGAUUCAGACCUGCUGAACACCACACUGAAAAUCUGCCGUGUGGCUGCUUCUAGUACACAAGACAGAACCACCCCCUCUCACUUCCUGCCACCAAAUUUACUGUAUGCUGAACAAGAGAAACACAGCUUAACUCCUGAUCUCCCCUACAGGAUUACACUCCCCUGGCAGCAGCUGCCUCCUGUUCCCCACCCUCCCCCAGGACUUCCCUGAAGACCAAGCUGCCAUCUCAGCUAAGCCUCAGCGAAGCAGCCUGGCUGAGAGCAAGGUUCUUUAGUUCUCCUAGGACGUGGGGGAGGCCCACUCACUCUGCUACCUAGGACAGACAGGUACAUCUAGGGUCCAGCUGUGAAGCAAGAUAUUUUGGACAGCAAAUGGGAAGGGUAUUUAUACUGAAUCAUGUAUCCCAUGAUCCAGAGAUCACAGCCGAGAGUGGUGCUUAUUCCUUAUGUCUGUAACAAUAUAAGCAAUGCCAUAAUUACCACUAAAACACCAGGCCUAGAUAUGCAGUUGAACAUUCUCUCCCUCUGCCCUCCCUUUUAUUCUCUCCCUCUUCUUACUUACUUCUUUGCUUG